UGAGGAAUAUUGGUCAAUGGGCGAGAGCCUGAACCAGCCAAGUAGCGUGAAGGAUGAAGGUCCUACGGAUUGUAAACUUCUUUUAUACGGGAAUAAAGUAUCCUACGUGUAGGAUUUUGUAUGUACCGUAUGAAUAAGCAUCGGCUAACUCCGUGCCAGCAGCCGCGGUAAUACGGAGGAUGCGAGCGUUAUCCGGAUUUAUUGGGCUUAAAGGGAGCGCAGACGGGAGAUUAAGUCAGUUGUGAAAGUUUGCGGCUCAACCGUAAAAUUGCAGUUGAUACUGGUUUCCUUGAGUGCAGUUGAGGCAGGCGGAAUUCGUGGUGUAGCGGUGAAAUGCUUAGAUAUCACGAAGAACCCCGAUUGCGAAGGCAGCUUGCUAAACUGUAACUGACGUUCAUGCUCGAAAGUGUGGGUAUCAAACAGGAUUAGAUACCCUGGUAGUCCACACGGUAAACGAUGGAUACUCGCUGUUGGCGAUAUACUGUCAGCGGCCAAGCGAAAGCAUUAAGUAUCCCACCUGGGGAGUACGCCGGCAACGGUGAAACUCAAAGGAAUUGACGGGGGCCCGCACAAGCGGAGGAACAUGUGGUUUAAUUCGAUGAUACGCGAGGAACCUUACCCGGGCUUAAAUUGCAGACGAAUUACGAGGAAACUUGUAAGCCGCAAGGCGUCUGUGAAGGUGCUGCAUGGUUGUCGUCAGCUCGUGCCGUGAGGUGUCGGCUUAAGUGCCAUAACGAGCGCAACCCUCGUGGUCAGUUACUAACAGGUUAAGCUGAGGACUCUGGCCAGACUGCCAUCGUAAGAUGUGAGGAAGGUGGGGAUGACGUCAAAUCAGCACGGCCCUUACGUCCGGGGCUACACACGUGUUACAAUGGGAGGUACAGAAGGCAGCUACCCGGCGACGGGAUGCCAAUCCCCAAAACCUCUCUCAGUUCGGACUGGAGUCUGCAACCCGACUCCACGAAGCUGGAUUCGCUAGUAAUCGCGCAUCAGCCACGGCGCGGUGAAUACGUUCCC
rnacentral:rRNA from 1 species